AACUGGAUAGCCUAGUGGUCAAAGGCAGCACUUCUAGCAAUAAUGAGGUCCCAGGUUUGAAUACUGGUCUAGUCA
rnacentral:tRNA from 1 species